rnacentral:rRNA from 1 species
UACGGGGGGAGCAAGCGUUGUUCGGAUUUACUGGGCGUAAAGGGCGCGUAGGCGGUCAGCACAAGUCAGUUGUGAAAUCUCCGGGCUUAACUCGGAAAGGUCAACUGAUACUGUGCGACUAGAGUGCAGAAGGGGCAAUCGGAAUUCUUGGUGUAGCGGUGAAAUGCGUAGAUAUCAAGAGGAACACCUGAGGUGAAGACGGGUUGCUGGGCUGACACUGACGCUGAGGCGCGAAAGCCAGGGGAGCAAACGGG